rnacentral:rRNA from 1 species
AUUGAACGCUGGCGGCAGGCCUAACACAUGCAAGUCGAGCGAGCGGCGGACGGGUGAGUAAUGUAUGGGGACUGCCCGAAAGAGGGGGAUAACUACUGGCAAAGGUAGCUAAUACCGCAUACUAUCGGAUAACCCAUAUGGGAGUAGCUAGUAGGUGAGGUAAUGGCUCACCUAGGCGACGAUCCCUAGCUGGUCUGAGAGGUUGAUCAGCCCCACUGGGACUGAGACACGGCCCAGACUCCUACGGAGGCAGCAGUGGGGAAUAUUGCACAAUGGGCGCAAGCCUGAUGCAGCCAUGCCGCGUGUAUGAAGAAGGCCCUAGGGUUGUAAAGUACUUUCAGUCGGGAGGCGUUACCUACAGAAGAAGCACCGGCUAACUACGUGCCAGCAGCCGCGGUAAUAC